rnacentral:rRNA from 1 species
UACAGGGGGUGCAAACGUUGCUCGGAAUCAUUGGGCGUAAAGCGCACGUAGGCGGUCUGUUAUGUCGGAUGUGAAAGCCCUUGGCUCAACUGAGGAAGUGCAUCCGAAACUGGCAGGCUAGAGUACUAAAGAGGAUCGCGGAAUUCCCGGUGUAGAGGUGAAAUUCGUAGAUAUCGGGAGGAACACCUGUGGCGAAGGCGGCUUCCUGGUCCAGCACCGACGUUCAGGCACGAAAGCGUGGGGAGCAAACAGG